rnacentral:lncRNA from 1 species
UUUUGGGAUUUUUGAGCCACCAACUGUGAAUCCCAAUAACUCCAAACUCCAACUACCAUGGCCGCCGGAUCUUCAUACCAACUUGAAGCUCACACUUCCCUCUUCACUACCCAACUAAUCACUGGCCUUAACUCCAAUAGAAAUCGAGUGAAAAUCGCCCAAAAACAGCCUGUCGAUGCACUUAAAAAUGGCCGGAAUCUCCACUUUGGGCGACUGCCAGACUAUGCCCAUCAUCCAGAUCGACCAAGCACCUAAUUCCACUCCUAAUGAUGUAUUUAUAGCAUCAAACAAAGUUGAAAAUCCAAAUCCAUAGCAAACUUCGUCUACAGUGAAACUGGACAGUUCAUACCCAAAUUUCGACGCCAAAGAUGCAAACCACAAUGGCGGACCACUUCCUCUACCACCGCCUCAUCAUGGGGAAGCUUUUGCACAUAUGGGUAAUAGCAAUUUGGACUCAAUAUGGACGAAAAGGUUGGGACAGUUAAUUUUGUGAGAGCAUUCUAUUUAUAUUUUUCAAGGUGAUUUUUGUGUGCUUAGUGGAUGAUAAUUUCACGACAAUAUACAAUAAAAAUUUAUCUAGAGUUUAGUUUUUUCCCCCUUAGAUUUUUGUUCUUGAAAUGUAUGUUUAUUGGAUUUGUUUUGCUCCAUUAUCAUAAAUUCUUAAUUUCAAGACCCGUUUAGUAUCUUGGUCAUGUGGUUAAUCGUGGAAAGACAAUACAGUAUCUUAGAGGUCUUUUUGCUGAGAUAUACCUUUUAUUUAAUUUCUUUUUGGCAUGAAAUGUGAAAGAUCUAAGUGAAUGAGACUUUUCU